UACCAUGCCCCCAGCAAAUUCAAUGCACCAGUUUUGUUUUACCAAUUAUUAGUUGAAAGUUACGCUUCUAUUAUUUUCUUGAAUGUGGGCUUAUUUUACUGCUUCUCAAUUUGCUCUAUUAUUUGAUGCAGCUCAAUUAUAAGGUUUGCUGAGAAGAGUUUAGAUGCUGAAUUGAGAGCAUUGGUUUUCAAUCCUCGACUCAUGGAGCUUUUUGAGGUGUGCUGGAAAUGGAAAACACAGACACAGAGCAGGAAACAAAGUCUUCAUCGAGAGGGGUUUUCAAGUUACUUGGAGAACCUGCGAUAGUUAUUAAUGGGUAGCACAAUUCGAAUAGUAUACUCGGGUAUUUAGAGAGAUCAUUUCUCGGCUUCUAUCCCUGGGUUCUUCAAAGGAUUGCCAGACGUAUACAAUGCAUUCAAAAUUCCAAAUCCAUGAUGGGCGCACUUUGAGAAAUUCUUAUGUCAUGCCUUCUCACCUUUCAGCUGGUGGAGUUAUUGGAUCAAUCCUGGUGGUCCUUUGCUUGUUUUGGGUUGGUCUGGUAGAAGAAGAAGAACUAUCCAUGAAAGAAAUGGUCAGAAAGCUAACGACAAACACAAUGUAAAGUAAAAUAAUUAUCCAUGAAUAAGAGCUUUCAUGUAAUGUGAUUUGUGUUUUUUUUUUAUUAUAUGAAUAAUGAUCCAUUAUAUCAUAUUUAUUAUUAAUUUAUUUAUUAUAUAUUUUUAUUAUGGUA